rnacentral:lncRNA from 1 species
CCUGCCUCCUCCUCCCUAGGUGGGGCAGGAACUUUCGUUUAUGAUAAUGAUACUCUGCAUUUAUAGAGCGUCUUUUCUACUGAGAGCUCAGAGCACUUUUCCUUCUAUGCACACUCUCAUCUUUCUGGAAGUGCAGGCUGAGGGAAAGAAUCACAGUGACUUUAUAACUGAGGCUUGGAGGCACUGAGUAGCUUGCCUUAGGUCAUGCAGCCAGCAAGGGGCAGAGCCAGGAUUUGAGUUUCAGAGUUGGGACUG